rnacentral:lncRNA from 1 species
GCCAGAGAAGAGGUGCCUGGAGUCAAAAAGGAAUAAAAGUAGAGAAAGGAAGAUACAGAGAAGCAGCAGGGGUGGAAGGAUGGGAGGAGGGGGUGAUCAGAAGAGGUGUGAACAGAAAGAACAUUGGCCUAUUGUGGUACCUGGGUUCUAAGAAUCCUAACUAAUACAGCCUCCAACAAAACCCCUCCUCCGUGGAUAUCCAUGCCACUCCUCAUGUCAAAAGAAUCCUAAAUCUGGGGCUUAAGAGACUUGGAACGCCCACUUCCUUCUCCUUGGAAUGCUUGCCCUUGGAAUGCUCCCACUUGGAACCCAGCCUCCAGGCCGUGAAAGAUCUCAGCCACAUCGACAGACUAUGUGGAAGAGAACGUAGGUGCUCUGGUCGACAGCCCCCACUGAGGAUUCAGCACCAUCUUGGGUUUUCUAAAACCAGAUGAGCCCUCAGAUGACGGUGACUCUAGAUGACAUCACAUGGAGCAGAAGAACUGCCCAACUGAGCUCAGUCAACCCAUGGCAUCAAGAGAGAGAAUAAAAUUGAUGCUGUUUUAAGACACUAAAUUUUGGGUUGGUUUGUUACACAGAAAUAGAUAACCCACCUUAAAAUUUGGUCUAAGGUAG